rnacentral:lncRNA from 1 species
UGCAAUUUUGACAAUUUGAAUUUAGUUUAAAUUUAGAGCAAACUUCUAAAUCUAAAUUUAGCAUUAUUUUGGUUGAUUAGAGACGCACGUUAAAAUGUUAAGAUGGCUGGAUUAUUGAAUACAAAAUAAAAAAUAUUGUUUGUUUUACGAUGGAUGGGCCAUUAGCAAAUCUUAUAUUUAAUUUUUUUUCUCGUGCUCGGAGACACGGUCGGCCACAGCAGAAUCA